GAAAGGCCCUUCGGGGUACUCGAGUGGCGAACGGGUGAGUAACACGUGGGUGAUCUGCCCUGCACUUUGGGAUAAGCCUGGGAAACUGGGUCUAAUACCGAAUAGGACCGCAUGCUUCAUGGUGUGUGGUGGAAAGCUUUUGCGGUGUGGGAUGGGCCCGCGGCCUAUCAGCUUGUUGGUGAGGUAAUGGCUUACCAAGGCGACGACGGGUAGCCGGCCUGAGAGGGUGACCGGCCACACUGGGACUGAGAUACGGCCCAGACUCCUACGGGAGGCAGCAGUGGGGAAUAUUGCACAAUGGGCGCAAGCCUGAUGCAGCGACGCCGCGUGAGGGAUGACGGCCUUCGGGUUGUAAACCUCUUUCGCCAGGGACGAAGCGCAAGUGACGGUACCUGGAGAAGAAGGACCGGCCAACUACGUGCCAGCAGCCGCGGUAAUACGUAGGGUCCGAGCGUUGUCCGGAAUUACUGGGCGUAAAGAGCUCGUAGGUGGUUUGUCGCGUUGUUCGUGAAAACUCACAGCUUAACUGUGGGCGUGCGGGCGAUACGGGCAGACUUGAGUACUGCAGGGGAGACUGGAAUUCCUGGUGUAGCGGUGGAAUGCGCAGAUAUCAGGAGGAACACCGGUGGCGAAGGCGGGUCUCUGGGCAGUAACUGACGCUGAGGAGCGAAAGCGUGGGGAGCGAACAGGAUUAGAUACCCUGGUAGUCCACGCCGUAAACGGUGGGUACUAGGUGUGGGUUUCCUUCCUUGGGAUCCGUGCCGUAGCUAACGCAUUAAGUACCCCGCCUGGGGAGUACGGCCGCAAGGCUAAAACUCAAAGAAAUUGACGGGGGCCCGCACAAGCGGCGGAGCAUGUGGAUUAAUUCGAUGCAACGCGAAGAACCUUACCUGGGUUUGACAUGCACAGGACGCCGGCAGAGAUGUCGGUUCCCUUGUGGCCUGUGUGCAGGUGGUGCAUGGCUGUCGUCAGCUCGUGUCGUGAGAUGUUGGGUUAAGUCCCGCAACGAGCGCAACCCUUGUCUCAUGUUGCCAGCACGUUAUGGUGGGGACUCGUGAGAGACUGCCGGGGUCAACUCGGAGGAAGGUGGGGAUGACGUCAAGUCAUCAUGCCCCUUAUGUCCAGGGCUUCACACAUGCUACAAUGGCCGGUACAAAGGGCUGCGAUGCCGUGAGGUGGAGCGAAUCCUUUCAAAGCCGGUCUCAGUUCGGAUCGGGGUCUGCAACUCGACCCCGUGAAGUCGGAGUCGCUAGUAAUCGCAGAUCAGCAACGCUGCGGUGAAUACGUUCCCGGGCCUUGUACACACCGCCCGUCACGUCAUGAAAGUCGGUAACACCCGAAGCCGGUGGCCUAACCCCUUGUGGG
rnacentral:rRNA from 1 species